GACGUAGGGCGCGAGCGUUGUUCGGAUUUACUGGGCGUAAAGCGCACGUAGGCGGAUCGUUAAGUUAGGGGUGAAAUCCUGGAGCUCAACUCCAGAACUGCCUCUAAUACUGGCGAUCUAGAGUCCGGAAGAGGUGAGUGGAACUCCUAGUGUAGAGGUGGAAUCGUAGAUAUUAGGAAGAACACCAGUGGCGAAGGCGGCUCACUGGUCCGGUACUGACGCUGAGGUGCGAAAGCGUGGGGAGCAAACAGG
rnacentral:rRNA from 1 species